AACGACAAAAAAAAAUAAGAAAAAGGCCAUAGACUUACUCACCACCGCAGCAUCUCUUAUCCCCCGAAAACGGCCCGCCGUUUUUUUUUUUUUUUUUUCCUUUUUUU
rnacentral:ribozyme from 1 species